rnacentral:misc_RNA from 1 species
GUUUUAAACCAAAAUUGUCGGUUCCGGUUUCAAAGAAAUGAAGAGCCGGAACCGAUCUGUGGACACGGUUUCGGUUAUCGUUUGAAGUUUAUACGACAUAGUGCUGGUUUUGGUCUGGUUCUGGUUUGAAACUGAACCAUGGUCAUGCCUCACUUAGAUAAAGCCUUGCAUUAGAAAUUAUGAUCUCCACACCAUAUAAAGCAUAGUCCUGUCG